rnacentral:tRNA from 1 species
CGGGGUGUAGCGCAGCUGGUAGCGCGCCUGGUUUGGGACCAGGAUGCCGCAGGUUCGAUUCCUGUCACUCCGACCA